CACGUAGGGUGCGAGCGUUGUCCGGAAUUAUUGGGCGUAAAGAGCUCGUAGGCGGUGUGUCGCGUCGGCCGUGAAAACCUGCAGCUUAACUGUGGGCUUGCGGUCGAUACGGGCAUCACUGGAGUUCGGCAGGGGAGACUGGAAUUCCUGGUGUAGCGGUGAAAUGCGCAGAUAUCAGGAGGAACACCGGUGGCGAAGGCGGGUCUCUGGGCCGAUACUGACGCUGAGACGCAAAAGCGUGGGGAGCAAACAGG
rnacentral:rRNA from 1 species